UCCGCCCCGCACGCCCGGGGCGUCCCGAGUCUCAUCACGAGGCGGGGCGCACCCAGAGCGUACACGCUGGGACCCGAAAGAUGGUGAACUAUGCCUGGUCAGGACGAAGUCAGGGGAAACCCUGAUGGAGGUCCGUAGCGAUUCUGACGUGCAAAUCGAUCGUCGGAACUGGGUAUAGGGGCGAAAAACCAAUCGAAGCAUCUAGUAGCUGGUUCCCUCCGAAGUUUCCCUCAGGAUAGCUGGCGCUCGAUAUGUAAAAAGAGUCUCAUCUGGUAAAGCGAAUGAUUAGAGGCAUUGGGGUCGAAACGGCCUCAACCUAUUCUCAAACUUUAAAUGGGUGAGAUCUCCGGCUUGCUUGAACUAUGAAGCCGCGAGACCUCGGAUCAGAGUGCCAAGUGGGCCACUUUUGGUAAGCAGAACUGGCGCUGUGGGAUGAACCAAACGCCGAGUUAAAGCGCCUAAAUCGACGCUUAUGGGAUA
rnacentral:rRNA from 1 species